UACGGGGGGUGCGAGCGUUGUCCGGAAUCACUGGGCGUAAAGGGCGCGUAGGUGGUCUGAUAAGGGAGUGGUGAAAGCCCGGGGCUCAACCCCGGGUCGGCCGUGCCGACUGUCAGACUAGAGUGCUGUAGGGGCAGGCGGAAUUCCGGGUGUAGCGGUGGAAUGCGUAGAGAUCCGGAGGAAGACCGGUGGCGAAGGCGGCCUGCUGGGCAGAUACUGACACUGAGGCGCGACAGCGUGGGGAGCAAACAGG
rnacentral:rRNA from 1 species